rnacentral:rRNA from 1 species
AACGAACGCUGGCGGCAUGCCUAACACAUGCAAGUCGAACGAGACCUUCGGGUCUAGUGGCGCACGGGUGCGUAACGCGUGGGAACCUGCCCUUAGAUUCGGAAUAACUCCCCGCAAUGGUUGCUAAUACCGGAUCAUGUCUUCGGCCCAAAGAUUUAUCGCCUUUGGAUGGGCCCGCGUUGGAUUAGCUAGUUGGUAGGGUAAAAGCCUACCAAGGCUACGAUCCAUAGCUGGUCUGAGAGGAUGAUCAGCCACACUGGGACUGAGACACGGCCCAGACUCCUACGGGAGGCAGCAGUGGGGAAUAUUAGACAAUGGGCGAAAGCCUGAUCCAGCAAUGCCGCGUGAGUUAUGAAGGCCUUAUGGUUGUAAAGCUCUUUUACCCGGGAUGAUAAUGACAGUACCGGGAGAAUAAGCUCCGGCUAACUCCGUG